GAGAGAUGGACUGGCAAAACUCCGCUAGCCCUUGGCCGCCUCCAAUUUCCCUUUCCCUCUCUCCAAUCUCCACCGCCGCCGCCGCCGCCUCCUCUCGGUUUCUCAUGCUGCCGCUCCGACGAAGAGCGCGCCGCUGGUGCUUAGAUUCUGGGGACAUCUCAUGGUCUUCGUUGACGGAAGGAGGGGAAGAGCAGCCGCGCCAGGCGGCAUGCCUCGCCGUGCCGCGUGGCAGCCGCUGCCCCAUGCUUUGCCGGUGCCGUCUCAUCGUCUGCAUAGACAUGCGCAUCUCUGUCAGGACCGCGCGUCCAUGCCUCCCAUCUACCGGGCUGGAGUGGCCGCCUCCUGGUUGAGGCAUCGAACGUCCUCGGCUGCUGCCGCUGCUGCUGGCCGGGUCCCUCCUCUCGCUCCUGCCGAGGCUGAGGUGAGCACCAUGAAGACGAUGUCAGUGGAUGAUAUAGAGAGCUCCUCGAACAAGUAGCAGUUCUGGAGGAACUUGAAGAUGUCAUGUUUCAGUUUUGAUGUGAAUCGCUACAACAACAAUUAGAGGAGACCGUGCAUUGCAGGUUCAGAACCAAUUUAUAUGGAUGAUUGACAUAUGGAUCUUAGCGAGAUUCAAGGGAACGCGUGAUGUGACUGUGCCUUGUAUAAGCAAAGCUGAGCUGUUGAGACUAUUCUAUCCUGAAGUAUUGGUUUAUUACCGAGGAAGCCUUAAACAGAGAAGCUGAAUGCAGUUUUUGUAUCUUUCGUCAAAGUCCUGAACGGUCCAAUGAAAAUCUUGGUAUGCACAGCUUCAGAGCUUCAUCACAUUAUAGUAGGGGAAAAUGGUAUGCAGAAUGUCAAAAGCUUCAUUUUGGUCCAUUAGAUAGUUUAUAGCUUUGUCACUGGAGCUGUGACAAAAUAAUCGCAGCUUGUGAAAAUUAUAUACAACCAUGAAUGCUCCAUAGUUUUCCAUGCAACACAGCUACUGAAUCUGCAAGACAUGCUUAUUUCUGGCAGAAUCUUAGUGGAUAAAUUAGCAUUGUGUAAGAUCUGCCAUGAUAGUUUUCUCAAUACCAUUUUGCAUUUUGGGACUGUUUGAGCACUAAAGAAUGUUAACAGGUUUACCAUUUCUCAUCUCUUUGUGAUAUCCGUAGGUAUUCUGGUGUCUCAGUUAGUCCCCAGCCUCUUUCACUGACCCAUAAAUUAUCUGUCUCUAGGUCUCCUCAAUUGUAUUCUGGUUUAGAACAACAAAACUAUUUUUGCCUCAGCUACUUUGUCGGUGUCGUGUACAUUGUCAUGGAUUUGAUGUCAUGUAGUUCCAGGUGUUUUAUUAUACUUCCAGUCUCAGUAUAUGACGGCAUGAUAUGAUGAUAUUACCCUAAACCUGCUCUCCCGCUCAUUCAAAUCAGGAUGUCGGCGGACGCGUCUGCUGCGUGUCCCCAUCCGUCCGCAACGUCUGCAACUGUAAUCAAGUGUUCUGACUGCUCGCUAUGCCCGGCGGGCACAUGCGGACGUCCGCAUCUGCCUUGCAAACUCUGUAUACAUCAAGCAUAAUGCAAUCCAUGCUAGAAAAUUACCAAAGAAACAUCUUUAGUUGCAAAUGAGGCCCAACAUCAUGUAGACAUAAGUUGAAUCUCAUGUAAAAGCGUACACACGCUCAACCUCAUGUACAGCAGUAAUUUAAGAGUUAGCUCCACCUGUUAUAAUAGUUUUUUGACCAAUCUGACUUUGGAAUAUCAAGACGAAUUGCUCCCAACAAAUUUGUGUUAAGCUGACUUCUGUAAAAAAAAGUCUAUGCUCAGUUGCAUGAGUUAAUCCAGUUUUAGGACUAAACAAUAGAUUAAUACACACAUAUUUCACUGUGGUCUGUGGCAAUUUUGCGGCAGGUACAAUGCUAAAAAAAAUCAAUUUUUGUUCAAUUUUAUGGUCAAGAUCUUAGGUUGAUGAUAACUUGAUAUGUGGUUCUCCUGUAGCAUUAGUUAUAUUUUGGAUUAUCUUACCCAAAACUAACUACAUGAAAAAUGACUACUUUAUUUUAUACCAUGUUAACUUAGGCCUGAAAUAUGGAAGUUACUUAUCAUACAAGAAGAGGCAAAAUAACAUUUGUACCAUAUUUGGUUCAAGUCUACCAGGUAAAUAAUUUCAAAUGAUCAGAUUGAGUUGUUUUAGAAAUGAAAAACGGAACUUGUCCUUGUUUAUCUUCCCUUUUUGUGUUAAAAUAAGAAGAAUGAUACACCACACACUGCCCUUUGGUUAUUUUUGCCCUUGUAUAUUGCAUGCUUCUUCGCCUAUGACCGGCAGAACACAAUGUAUAGGAUGUUUGUACAAAGAGCUACAAGGAGAGCACUCUUCAACGAUGGCAAUAUCCAAUGAAGCUGCAAAUUGUUGGGUGUAUGUAUAUGUGUACCGAAGUUGAGUUGAAUCCCUAAGGAAGAACCAAACAUUUAUUUCUAUCUUAUUAUAUGCUAUCUUAAAUGCAAAAGUGUGAGCUAUGUUAACAACUGUUUCAGUAUGAUGUUUGGAAAUGUUAAUGAUUGCAGUUUUUGCACGCUCAA